rnacentral:rRNA from 1 species
UACGGGGGGGCAAGCGUUGUUCGGAAUUACUGGGCGUAAAGGGCUCGUAGGCGGCCAAUUAAGUCAGACGUGAAAUCCCUCGGCUUAACCGGGGAACUGCGUCUGAUACUGGAUGGCUAGAGGUUGGGAGAGGGAUGCGGAAUUCCAGGUGUAGCGGUGAAAUGCGUAGAUAUCUGGAGGAACACCGGUGGCGAAGGCGGCAUCCUGGACCAAUUCUGACGCUGAGGAG